rnacentral:rRNA from 1 species
CUACGUGCCAGCAGCCGCGGUAAUACGUAGGUGGCGAGCGUUAUCCGGAAUUAUUGGGCGUAAAGGGUGCGUAGGCGGCCUGUUAAGUAAGUGGUUAAAUUGUUGGGCUCAACCCAAUCCAGCCACUUAAACUGGCAGGCUAGAGUAUUGGAGAGGCAAGUGGAAUUCCAUGUGUAGCGGUAAAAUGCGUAGAUAUAUGGAGGAACACCAGUGGCGAAGGCGGCUUGCUAGCCAAAGACUGACGCUCAUGCACGAAAGCGUGGGGAGCAAAUAGGAUUAGAUACCCUAGUAGUCCACGCCGUAAACGAUGAAUACUAAGUAUUGGGGAAACUCAGUGCUGCAGCUAACGCAAUAAGUAUUCCGCCUGUGGAGUAUGCACGCAAGUGUGAAACAUAAAGGAAUUGACGGGGGCCCGCACAAGCGGUGGAGUAUGUGGUUUAAUUCGACGCAACGCGGAGAACCUUACCAGGCCUUGACAUCCCUUGCAAAGCUGUAGAGAUA